rnacentral:rRNA from 1 species
UACGUAGGGUGCAAGCGUUGUCCGGAAUUAUUGGGCGUAAAGAGCUCGUAGGCGGUUGUUUAAGUUUGGUGUGAAAUCUCCCGGCUCAACUGGGAGGGUGCGCCGAAUACUGAAUGACUAGAGUGCGGGAGAGGAAAGUGGAAUUCCUGGUGUAGCGGUGAAAUGCGCAGAUAUCAGGAAGAACACCCGUGGCGAAGGCGG